rnacentral:sRNA from 1 species
GCAGCCGCUGCGGCAGCUGCCAGGGCCAUGGUGCGCUCGUUGAAGGACGAGGGAUUGAGGCUGUUUCCUCCCGGCUGCUGCUGCUGUUGCUGCUGCUGUUGUUGCUGCUGCUGAACCAGCUGUUGCUGCUGCUGCUGCUGCUGCUGCAUCUGGAGUAGAUAGGCCGCUGCGGAUGC